CCUAGUAGGUUUCACUCUUGAUUUUGGACCAAAUCCUAUUCAAUUUUGGGCCCAGCCCUCUCUGUAGCAAAAUGAUGCCGUUUGGAUGCUUAGGGCUUCUUGUUCUUGUUCUUCUUUUCCUUCUCUUCUACCGCCGUCCACCUCUUUCUUUCCUUCUUCUUCAUUUUCAUUCGGCUGCUGCAGCUUCUCCUUCUUUCUUCUCUUCAUUUCUUUUGGUUUUAUCUCCUUUUCUUCCCCUCUUGUUGUGCCGGUUGACCUUCUUCUCCCUUGGGAAUUUUUCUGCAUCUUCUUUAACCUUUGAGCCGAACUCUUCCUACAUUUUCGUUCGGGUGAAUCCGUGAGCCAAUGCUCUAUUUUUGGCCUCACUUCCAUGCUCAGUUUUUCUCUCUUUUUUCCUUAAGAUUUUCGUGUGCGAGAUUGUGGGUAAAACCUUGUGAUUUUCGUAUGUUUUUGGUCUGAAAACGGUGCUCUGUUUUUGGUCUUCCCCGUGCCCCUAUUUUGCCCUUGUAGUUGUGGCCUUCAUUUUCAUUUCUUGUGAGUUUUUGGUUCUAUCCGUGUGCUACACUUCCAGCCUUUUUCCCUCCAGUUUUAUUUCAGUAAAAAUCAGCCUUUAUUUCGAAUAUAUCAUAUCAAAAUCACCUUGUUUUCGAAACCAACUUUAGCCCCCAAAAAAUUGUAAAUUUUGGUGACUUAUUUGCAAGCUAGUUUUUGGAGUUAAUCGGGUAUUUGAUCUUUCAUAAAUAUUGCUUUUAAAGUACUGUAAGUAUUUUUCAAAAUUCCUUUCAGAUUUAAAUAUAUUUUUAUUUUAACAAUAAAUUGUGAUUAAUUGAUUAUACCGGACUGAGUCCGAAGAGUCGGGGGUCAGAUGGACUUGAGGAUGGAGUUAUUUUUUAUGUUUGGAUAAUGUUGGAUAUUUGUAUCUUGUCAUUUGCAUUGCAUGGUACAUGCAUGUACAUGUGUUGAAUAUUGAAGACUAGGUUUUCAGGUGUAAAUAGAUUUUUGGGUGCAUGUGUAUCACGACCAGAAGCUGAGAUGGGGCAUUAUCUCGGUGGAGCUACUUUGGCCACUCGACAGUGCAAUAUACGAAGUGGCAUCCCCUGGAUUGUUGCUGGGUGAAAAUGAAAGCAGAUUGGAUGGUAACGCUCUCGUACUAACUCCAUGGCCCCUCUGCUGGCGAGGGCUAGAGGAUGCUUGACUGCGUACGUGCUGGGUGCAAAACUGGACAUCGCUCAUUACGAAGUCACACGCAUGAUCUUUACUCAGUGUGACAAAUGGAGCUAGGUUGUGUGGAUGACUCCUAGGAGAGGUACACGUCGUCAACUGUCCAAAAAAAGACAGAUUUGCCAACAUUGGUUAUACGCUGGCAACUAUUCAAAAAAAGACCGCUAAUUAAUUCGCAGCAUUUUUAUAACGGUGUAACUGUCUGCCAAUAAUGGAGAGUCGCUAUUUUUAUUGCUUCGGCAUUUGCGCAAACACCGGUAUUUGUAAAUCUCAUUAGUGGCAUUUGUAUACAAUUUAGAGGCAUUUAUUGAAACGCUGCCACAAUAUCUAAUAUUAAUUGCAUUUCUCGAAAUGCUGCCAUUUUAUCGUUA